rnacentral:rRNA from 1 species
UACGUAGGGGCGAGCGUUGUCCGGAAUGAUUGGGCGUAAAGGGCGCGUAGGCGGCUUGUUAAGUCUGGAGUGGAAGUCCUCUUUUCAAGGGAGGAAUUGCUUUGGAAACUGGCGGGCUUGAGUGCAGGAGAGGUUAUCGGAAUUCCCGGUGUAGCGGUGAAAUGCGUAGAGAUCGGGAGGAACACCAGUGGCGAAGGCGGGUAACUGGACUGCAACUGACGCUGAGGCGCGAAAGCGUGGGGAGCAAACAGGAUUAGAUACCCUGGUAGUCCCUGAG